UACGUAGGGUGCGAGCGUUAAUCGGAAUUACUGGGCGUAAAGCGUGCGCAGGCGGUUUUAUGAGACAGGCGUGAAAUCCCCGGGCUCACCCUGGGAAUGGCAUUUGUGACUGUAAGACGAGAGUACGGUAGAGGGGGAUGGAAUUCCGCGUGUAGCAGUGAAAUGCGUAGAUAUGCGGAGGAACACCAAUGGCGAAGGCAGAUCUCUGGGCCGUUACUGACGCUGAGGAGCGAAAGCAUGGGGAGCGAACAGG
rnacentral:rRNA from 1 species